CUUGGAGAGCUGGGGUCAUCGACAGAGUCCAAAUCUGAGCGAGAAAGACAAAGAGAAAAUGAGACCAAGAGAAUAACGAGAGUGAGAAAAUGUCAGAUGGGACAAACAGGUGGAAAUAGAGCAACAGAAACAGCAUUAGGAUAUCGAACUGUGUGGCUCUCUGGAUAGUUUUAAUUACACUACUAUGGCCGCCUGUCUGCUCAACUUCUCAAGUCUGGAUCGAUAUUUUCGUCGUCAGCUGGCACAUUUAGCCGUGGAUUUAACUGCUAAAACUGCUAAAUCUAACUGCAACGCUUCCCCUCUUCAAUGGAGGAAUUUCCUCCUCCACUGUUAUAUGGUAUCCUGCCAACGGUGACCGUUUCCCAUGUUUCCACUCAGACUGAGGCUAAUUUUACUUGAUCUAAUAAUCAAUAAACUAUGCAUGUUCAGCGACACUGACGUGCCAAGUGUUAUACUGGUAUGAGUAAAUCAGGCUCAAGAGUGUUGCUGAGGUUUUUAAACACUCUGUACACAUACUCGCCACUGUCUAAGUCACACCUAACUUUUGCGCCAACUUGUAGCUGUACAACACAGUUACAGCUGAUCUUCUUUCCCAUGCAUAAAUUGUGUUACUGA